rnacentral:rRNA from 1 species
GCGAAGCUGAUCCAGCCAUGCCGCGUGUGUGAAGAAGGUCUUCGGAUUGUAAAGCACUUUAAGUUGGGAGGAAGGGUUGUAGAUUAAUACUCUGCAAUUUUGACGUUACCGACAGAAUAAGCACCGGCUAACUCUGUGCCAGCAGCCGCGGUAAUACCG